GAGAGCCCGACUAGCUGAACUCGCCGCGGCUCACUGCGGCGUCAGCUGGCCCCGUUCUCCCCGCUGUCGCCGAGCCAGAGCGGGCCACGCGCCCCGUUGCACUCCAGAAAGGACGGAGGCGGACGAGGACCUGGAGGAAAUGGCUCGGCUGCGCUCCGCCUUCGCCGUCUGCGAUGCGACGGCGCGGGGAGCCAGCAGCGUGAGGAGUUCAGCCCGCGGUGAGCGGAGCUGCAGGUGUGGAUGGCGGACGCAGAGGCCGUGUUGCAGCGGCUCGGCGCCCGCCCCUGCCAAGAGUUCGUGAGCUGGGGGCAGUGCCUGGGCUGGGGGCCGCAGGAACUAGUGCCCAUCGCGGCCCCGGCGGUGUUGGACCCCGGAGACAGCAAAGACUACGCGGGGGACGAGCACUUGGCGGCGGCGCUGGCCGCCCCUUGGGACCCGGUGAGCCUGGGCGGAGCUUGGCAGGAUAUCCAGGCGCGACUCGGGAACAAGGCCAAGUUCACCUCUAGGAAAAACACAAAGCUGAGGGAGCCCUCAGUGACCUCAGACGUCAGUAUUGAAACAGAGGUGGGAGAUCUCCAGGUGACAAUGAAGAAACUCAAAAAGGGAGUGGAAAAAGAACUGAUGAGGAUGACAGCAAAUCCAUUGCCCAUAUGAGUGGGACCAGUUCCACAAGGUCAACCCAGAUGCAGAACGGUUGCGUGGUUAGAUCCAAAACAUCCCCGGCGUGGCCUUCAUUGUACGUGACUUGUUAGCUUCUUACCUAGAGUGGGGCAUCCUACAGAUGCUGUCGUGUGGAGAGUUACAGCAUGUAGAAUCUAAAUCUUACCCUGGGGUCCUUUUAGAAGGUCAGCUCUUUUUUGCUGUGUUUCAAUGAAAACGUUGUGCCCUCUGGUUAAAUACACCUGUUUUGUCCUGACAAAAGUCUUAGCGGAUAAAUGUUUUUAAAUUGGUUAAAAAAAUAAAAUCACAUGCUCAGAUCAAAGCUAUACAAGACAUUCACUGACAUUAUUAGAUUCAUACGGUUGCCAACUUUGUAGCUAAACUAUAACAUCUACUUCCAAUAUUCAAUACUAGAAAACUAGUCAAAGGGGGUGACCAUCCUUGCUUUGCUGUCAAUUAGCCUUGUGGUCUUGGACAUGUCACCAGCCAGGUUUGAUCCAUUUCCUCGUCUGUAAAACAAGCAGUUUGGCCUUUUGGGCCUGGGGCACUCUCAGCUCUGUAGGUCAUUAAGCAGUGGGAAGAACAGCUUGGUGACCCACGUUAAUGAGGACCCUCGUCACCCGUACUUUUUAAAUAUUGGAGUAUUGGAAGUUUUUGUUAGGGCUCAGUGGUAACAAACCCAACUAGUGUCCACGAGGCUGCGGGUUCGAUCCGUGGCCUCACUUAGUAGGUGAAGGGUCCAGCAUUGCCGUGAGCCAUGGUGUAGGUCGCAGAUGUGGCUCAGAUCUGGCAUUUCUGUGGUUCUGGUGUAGGCUGGCAGCUGCAGCUCUGAGUCAACCCCUAGCCUGGAAACUUCCGUAUGCCAUACCUACGGCUUUAAAAAGAAAAAAAAAUAUUGGAACAUUGAUUUUUCUCACUUCUUAUAUGAGAUCAGAAUUUAAGUGAAGAAAAAAGGUAAUGUUUUAAGCUCCAGUGGAGACAGAAAAAUCUGUUUUUUAAUGUAUUAAGAAAGAAAACAUUUUUUUGCAAUAAAAACAGUUUGUCUAUAAAAGAGGAUAUUUUGUAAUCUCAGAAUACUUACAAAGCCUAUUUUUGAAUUCAGUGUUAAAAGUUCUAAUGAAAAUAUAUAAAAGUAUGCUACUAAAAGCGUAGUCAUAUGCUACUGAAAAUGCAAUGCCCAGGAAAUGGGCAAUGUUACACUUCACCUAAAAAAAAAUACAAAAAUACGCAAGUUGACUACCAGGGGCUGGUGAAAGGGAGAAACUGAGAGUGAUGAUUAGUGAGUAUAUGCUUUCUUUGGGGGAUGAUGAGAAUGUUCUGGAAUUGUACUGUGGGAAUGUUGCACAACUUUGUGAAUAAACUAAAACCCACCAACUUGUAUACUUUGAAUGUUGAAUUUGAUGGUGUGUGAAUUACAGCUCAUUAAAAAAAUAACGCGGGUACUUAGAAUGAGUGAGCAUUUUGCCAAGCGAAAACAUGCAUACCUGAAACCCCUUAUGGUUUUUGCAUAAUUUCCAGUAUAAGGCAAAUCCCCUGACUCCCUGGUUGCCAGCAUUCCCUUUCUUACGUAAUGAACAGCGGAAGAAAUGUUAUGCAUGGUUCUGGAACAUCAUUUCUUUUGAAGAGGAAUUGUGGUUAGGUGAGUGAGAGUCCUUUGUCUGAGGUGAGUAGUGACUCAUCUUCACCAAUGGCCUGAUGGGUCUUACUCUCCCUGAAGCUGUGCUGUCUCACAGGCUUCCCCACUGAACCGUCUGCAAGAGCUGAAGGUGUCAACUGUUGAUCCCUGGGGCGGGGGACAGAAAGGCCUGGGUUUUGGUUUUGGUUUUCAGUGGCCCUGCACCAACUAAAUCAUGCCCAACCAGAGACUUUGUUUUUUGUCCGCAUCCACUGCAUGCGGAAGUUCCAGGGCCAGAAAUCAAACCUGUGCCACAACGACGACCUGAGCCACAGCAGUGGCAGCACUGGAUCCUUAACCUGAUGUGCCACCAAGAAACUCCCCAACCAGAGACUUGAGCUUAGCUUGGUUCAUAGAUAGGGCCAGGCCCCAAGCAGCUUGCCGAAAAAAACUGACUUAAUAGCCUUUAUUUAUUAUACUACAUAAUCUAAAAACAUCCCUUUUAGUUGAACUGAAACGGUGCUAUGUAGCAGUUUUUUCUCCUGUUUGUGAUCUUUACGACGAGACCUUAAAUUCCCCAAGCUUCAUUAUUUUUAAAGGAAUAUUGACCAAGUAUGUUUACACGCACAGGUUAUAAAUAGCCACAGCAUCAGUUAGCUUUUCAAAGCGUGCCUUCCCUCUACUGAUGAGUUCUAGUUUCUUGGGGUUUGUUUGAUUUUUUUUUUUUUUUUUUUUUUUACUGUAAAAUUGGUUCUGUCCUCAACACCUCUACUGUCAAGUCCCAUUUCCCACUUUUUGGACUCAGGAAA
rnacentral:lncRNA from 1 species